rnacentral:rRNA from 1 species
CGGAAUCGCUAGUAAUCGCAAAUCAGAAUGCUGCGGUGAAUACGUUCCCGGGUCUUGUACACACCGCCCGUCACACCAUGGGAGUCGGAAAUGCCCGAAGUCAGUGGCCCAACCGGAAGGAGGGAGCUGCCGAAGGCAGGUCCGGUGACUGGGGUGAAGUCGUAACAAGGUACC